GCUGACGAGUGGCGGACGGGUGAGUAAUGUCUGGGAAACUGCCUGAUGGAGGGGGAUAACUACUGGAAACGGUGGCUAAUACCGCAUAAUGUCGCAAGACCAAAGAGGGGGACCUUCGGGCCUCUUGCCAUCAGAUGUGCCCAGAUGGGAUUAGCUUGUUGGUGAGGUAACGGCUCACCAAGGCGACGAUCCCUAGCUGGUCUGAGAGGAUGACCAGCCACACUGGAACUGAGACACGGUCCAGACUCCUACGGGAGGCAGCAGUGGGGAAUAUUGCACAAUGGGCGCAAGCCUGAUGCAGCCAUGCCGCGUGUAUGAAGAAGGCCUUCGGGUUGUAAAGUACUUUCAGCGGGGAGGAAGGUGUUGUGGUUAAUAACCGCAGCAAUUGACGUUACCCGCAGAAGAAGCACCGGCUAACUCCGUGCCAGCAGCCGCGGUAAUACGGAGGGUGCAAGCGUUAAUCGGAAUUACUGGGCGUAAAGCGCACGCAGGCGGUCUGUCAAGUCGGAUGUGAAAUCCCCGGGCUCAACCUGGGAACUGCAUUCGAAACUGGCAGGCUUGAGUCUUGUAGAGGGGGGUAGAAUUCCAGGUGUAGCGGUGAAAUGCGUAGAGAUCUGGAGGAAUACCGGUGGCGAAGGCGGCCCCCUGGACAAAGACUGACGCUCAGGUGCGAAAGCGUGGGGAGCAAACAGGAUUAGAUACCCUGGUAGUCCACGCCGUAAACGAUGUCUACUUGGAGGUUGUGCCCUUGAGGCGUGGCUUCCGGAGCUAACGCGUUAAGUAGACCGCCUGGGGAGUACGGCCGCAAGGUUAAAACUCAAAUGAAUUGACGGGGGCCCGCACAAGCGGUGGAGCAUGUGGUUUAAUUCGAUGCAACGCGAAGAACCUUACCUGGUCUUGACAUCCACGGAAGUUUUCAGAGAUGAGAAUGUGCCUUCGGGAACCGUGAGACAGGUGCUGCAUGGCUGUCGUCAGCUCGUGUUGUGAAAUGUUGGGUUAAGUCCCGCAACGAGCGCAACCCUUAUCCUUUGUUGCCAGCGGUCCGGCCGGGAACUCAAAGGAGACUGCCAGUGAUAAACUGGAGGAAGGUGGGGAUGACGUCAAGUCAUCAUGGCCCUUACGACCAGGGCUACACACGUGCUACAAUGGCGCAUACAAAGAGAAGCGACCUCGCGAGAGCAAGCGGACCUCAUAAAGUGCGUCGUAGUCCGGAUUGGAGUCUGCAACUCGACUCCAUGAAGUCGGAAUCGCUAGUAAUCGUGGAUCAGAAUGCCACGGUGAAUACGUUCCCGGGCCUUGUACACACCGCCCGUCACACCAUGGGAGUGGGUUGCAAAAGAAGUAGGUAGCUUAACCUUCGGGAGGGCGCUUACCACUUUGUGAUUCAUGACUGGGGUGAAGUCGUAACAAGGUAACCGUAGGGGAACCUGCGGUUGGAUCACCUCCUUACCUUAAAGAAGC
rnacentral:rRNA from 2 species